rnacentral:rRNA from 1 species
GUCGUGACUGCGUGCCUUUUGAAGAAUGAGCCUGCGAGUUUGCGGUGUGUUGCGAGGUUAACCCGUGUGGGGAAGCCGUAGCGAAAGCGAGUCCGAACAGGGCGAUGUAGUAGCGCGCUCAAGACCCGAAGCGGAGUGAUCUAGCCAUGGGCAGGUUGAAGCGCGGGUAAGACCGUGUGGAGGACCGAACCCACCAGGGUUGAAAACCUGGGGGAUGACCUGUGGUUAGGGGUGAAAGGCCAAUCAAACUCCGUGAUAGCUGGUUCUCCCCGAAAUGCAUUUAGGUGCAGCGUCGUGUGUUUCUUGCCGGAGGUAGAGCACUGGAUAGGCGAUGGGCCCUACCGGGUUACUGACCUUAGCCAAACUCCGAAUGCCGGUAAGUGAGAGCGCGGCAGUGAGACUGUGGGGGAUAAGCUCCAUGGUCGAGAGGGAAACAGCCCAGAGCAUCGACUAAGGCCCCUAAGCGUACGCUAAGUGGGAAAGGAUGUGGAGUCGCAGAGACAACCAGGAGGUUGGCUUAGAAGCAGCCAUCCUUGAAAGAGUGCGUAAUAGCUCACUGGUCAAGUGAUUCCGCGCCGACAAUGUAGCGGGGCUCAAGCGUACCGCCGAAGUCGUGUCAUUCCAGCAUGAGGUCCAACGACCGUUGGGAUGGGUAGGGGAGCGUCGUGUGCCGGGUGAAGCCGCGCCGGAAGGCAGUGGUGGACGGUUCACGAGUGAGAAUGCAGGCAUGAGUAGCGAUACACACGUGGGAAACGUGUGCGCCGAUUGACUAAGGGUUCCUGGGUCAAGCUGAUCUGCCCAGGGUAAGUCGGGACCUAAGGCGAGGCCGACAGGCGUAGUCGAUGGACAACCGGUUGAUAUUCCGGUACCCGCUUUGAAGCGCCAGCGCUGAACCUUCUGAUGCUAAGUCCGUGAAGCCGCCGGCUGAGUCUUCGGACGAGGUCGGAGUGGUGGAGCCGACGACCCGAGGGGGUAGUAGGUGAGUGAUGGGGUGACGCAGGAAGGUAGUCCAGCCCGGGCGGUGGUUGUCCCGGGGUAAGGGUGUAGGACGCCAGGUAGGUAAAUCCGUCUGGCACAUAAGUCUGAGACCUGAUGCCGAGCCGAUUGUGGUGAAGUGGAUGAUCCUAUGCUGUCGAGAAAAGCCUCUAGCGAGUUUCAUGGCGGCCCGUACCCUAAACCGACUCAGGUGGUCAGGUAGAGAAUACCGAGGCGUUCGGGUGAACUAUGGUUAAGGAACUCGGCAAAAUGCCCCCGUAACUUCGGGAGAAGGGGGGCCAUUGCUGGUGAUCACCCUUGCGGUGUGAGCUGGUGGUGGCCGCAGAGACCAGCGAGAAGCGACUGUUUACUAAAAACACAGGUCCGUGCGAAGCCGUAAGGCGAUGUAUACGGACUGACGCCUGCCCGGUGCUGGAACGUUAAGGGGACCGGUUAGUCAUGAUGCGUCAUGGCGAAGCUGAGAACUUAAGCGCCAGUAAACGGCGGUGGUAACUAUAACCAUCCUAAGGUAGCGAAAUUCCUUGUCGGGUAAGUUCCGACCUGCACGAAUGGCGUAACGACUUCUCGACUGUCUCAACCAUAGGCCCGGUGAAAUUGCACUACGAGUAAAGAUGCUCGUUUCGCGCAGCAGGACGGAAAGACCCCGGGACCUUUACUACAGCUUGAUAUUGGUGUUCGGUUCGGCUUGUGUAGGAUAGGUGGGAGACUGUGAAGCCCGGACGCUAGUUCGGGUGGAGUCGUCGUUGAAAUACCACUCUGGUCGUGCUGGAUGUCUAACCUGGGUCCGUGAUCCGGAUCAGGGACAGUGUCUGGUGGGUAGUUUAACUGGGGCGGUUGCCUCCUAAAGGGUAACGGAGGCGCCCAAAGGUUCCCUCAGCCUGGUUGGUAAUCAGGUGUUGAGUGUAAGUGCACAAGGGAGCUUGACUGUGAGACCGACGGGUCGAGCAGGGACGAAAGUCGGGACUAGUGAUCCGGCGGUGGCUUGUGGAAGCGCCGUCGCUCAACGGAUAAAAGGUACCCCGGGGAUAACAGGCUGAUCUUCCCCAAGAGUCCAUAUCGACGGGAUGGUUUGGCACCUCGAUGUCGGCUCGUCGCAUCCUGGGGCUGGAGUCGGUCCCAAGGGUUGGGCUGUUCGCCCAUUAAAGCGGUACGCGAGCUGGGUUUAGAACGUCGUGAGACAGUUCGGUCCCUAUCCGCUGUGCGCGUAGGAGUCUUGAGAAGGGCUGUCCCUAGUACGAGAGGACCGGGACGGACGAACCUCUGGUGUGCCAGUUGUCCUGCCAAGGGCAUGGCUGGUUGGCUACGUUCGGGAGGGAUAACCGCUGAAAGCAUCUAAGCGGGAAGCCUGCUUCGAGAUGAGGACUCCCACCCCCAUGAGGGGUUAAGGCUCCCAGUAGACGACUGGGUUGAUAGGCCAGAUAUGGAAGCACCGCAAGGUGUGGAGUUGACUGGUACUAAUAGGCCGAGGGCUUGUCCUCAGAUG